GACGAACGCUGGCGGCGUGCUUAACACAUGCAAGUCGAACGAUGAACCCGGAGCUUGCUCCGGCGGAUUAGUGGCGAACGGGUGAGUAACACGUGAGUAACCUGCCCUUGACUCUGGGAUAACUGCUAGAAAUGGUAGCUAAUACCGGAUACGACCCUCGGUGGCAUCACCAGGGGGUGGAAAGAAUUUCGGUCAAGGAUGGACUCGCGGCCUAUCAGCUAGUUGGUGGGGUAACGGCUCACCAAGGCGACGACGGGUAGCCGGCCUGAGAGGGUGACCGGCCACACUGGGACUGAGACACGGACCAGACUCCUACGGGAGGCAGCAGUGGGGAAUAUUGCACAAUGGGCGCAAGCCUGAUGCAGCAACGCCGCGUGAGGGAUGACGGCCUUCGGGUUGUAAACCUCUUUUAGUAGGGAAGAAGCGAAAGUGACGGUACCUGCAGAAAAAGCACCGGCUAACUACGUGCCAGCCGCCGCAGUAAAAC
rnacentral:rRNA from 1 species